CUUUCGACCAGACUUGCGAUCUCGAGUCAACGGCAGAGCGAAGUUGAUGAGCAUUGUUUUGGUCGAACGAAAGUCUGUGGGAUGAAUAAAUCUGUUUUUAAAUAGUACCGUGGAUUUGUUUGUCUAGUGACGGUGGGUUGUGUCCUAAAGAACAACACGCCGGCUCUUCUUCCGGCUCGAUUUUUCUUACUUCGCACACUUAACGCCACUUGUCACAAUGCUAACUAACUAGCUAGCUAAUGCUAACCAACGUUAGCCGAACUGAACACAGCAUUUACAUGGUGUAUUAAGGCAAAGCCUUCUUUUUUCCGCUGCCACGUCAAACGGCUUAUAAACAAGAGAAAUCGACCAGUGUUUUGGAUGGCCGUGGCUCCCGCUUCGAUGGCAGAUAAGAUCAUCGUCCUUGAUGAUGAUGACGAUGAUGAGGCGAGUCCUCAACCUUCCUGCUCUGCCUCCGCCUCGUCCUCUCAUCAACAAGCCAAAAAGUUCUUGCCACUCCGAGCUCAGCAGCCUGCCCCGACCCACAUCACCCAGUCACCUUUUGCCUCCGCGAAGAAAGACACACAUGUUCUGCAGGCUGAGAACCAGAGGUUGUUCACUGAGUUCGUGGAGCACUGCUCAACUGUAACCCAGGACUGCCCAGAGGUCUUGGACUUCCUCCAUACCAAGCAUGCCAAGUCCUCCCCAGAGUAUCUCUCAUCCGUGGAGUUCAGGAACACCGUGGGACGAUGUUUGACUCACACUCAGGCCAAGCGCUCCAAAGCCUUUGUCUACAUCAGUGAACUUUGCACUGCACUCAAGCAGCAUGCAGUGAAGCGGAGGCAGACUCUCACCAAGGUUGAACCUGGCUCUUCUACCAUAACGUCAAGUGUUCUCCAGUGUAACUCUGAUUUACCCAAAAGGGAAGACAAGAGUAAAGAUAAGAUGAAUGUGAAAACGGCAGCAGAGGACAAGCAACCUUCUACCUCAGGGCUGCAGGAGGCAGAUAAUAAGCAGGAACCGGAAGCAGAGAAAAAGGCAAAGAGGGCAUCCAGGAGACAGAUAGCGUACCUGGAGAACCUGCUGAAGGUGUACAAUGACGAGAUCUACCGCCUGCAGCAGACCGAGCUGAAUCUAGACGACCUGGCAGCUGAGGACUCUAUAUACAUCCAGGAACACAGGCUAAAACGCAAGAUGAUGAAGAUUUAUGAAAAGCUGUGUGAACUAAAGAACUGCAGCACACUAACAGGCCGAGUCAUUGAGCAGAGGCUCCCCUACAAUAGCACUCGCUAUCCUGAGAUCAACAGGAAGAUUGAGCGUUACAUCAACAGUCCCGAGGCGCAUCAGAACCCUCCGGAUUACCAAGACAUCCUCCAGCAGGUGCUGCGUGCUAAUGAGCGCCACAACCUGUGCCUGAGCAGAAGACAGCUGAACCAGAUCGCCCAGGAGGCUUUCACAGAGACCGGGAGCAGCAUGCAGGAGAGACGCCACCAGGACCUGGUCUACAACUUUGGCUCGCGCCUCACCGAAGUAUACAAGGACGCCCCUGACCCGGCUCUGGCGGACCCCUCACUGCUGCGGAAGCUUCGGUCGAACAGAGAAUUGGCUCUGUCCCGUCUCAAGGAAGUCGUCACCAGCUACGCCAUCAAACAAGAGGAUAUGGAGGAGCAGGACAGGGCCAAACGGCUGGAGAAAGACAGCAAGGAGAAGGAGGUACACAAAACAGAAAACGGAGAAGGACAUAAAGAGGUGAACGGAGUGGCAGCGACGGAGGAAGAGGUGGAGGAUGAUGAUGAUGAUGAAGAAGAAGAAUCAUCAUCAGACCCAGACAUUGAGGAAGAAAUCCAGGCCAGCACCCAGCAAGAUGGACCGGACUGUGACGAGAACGAGGACGCCGAAGCUAACGAGGCGGAACCAGCGUGUGAUGGUACCAACACAGAGGUUCCGACGGAUCAGCUGGCAGGAGGGGUUUCUGCAGGGGAAGAAGAAAGCCUGAAAGAUGAGGAAGAGGAGCCCGCAAGUGGACUCAGUCCUCUCUCUGAUGAAAGCAAGCCCCAAAUCUCCCCACUGUCUGACCUCCCCUCCCCUAGACAGAGCCCCAGCCAAUCGGAGCCAAUGCAGACUGAUGACCAGACGCCGUUGUCUAAUGGUAACCAUGCAGGGUCAGAGGAGCCCGUUGAUCCCUCCAAUCAUGUUUCAGUCGUGCUGGUAAGCACCAGCAAAGUCACAAAGGACCCUGCAGGCGUUUCUCCGGCAACAGCCAACGGGGAGUCUUUGCCCGCGGUCGUCGUAGAAAAUUGCAACACACAGACUACGAAUGGCACGUCGCCGCCGCCCAGCCUCCGAACCACGAGGAACCAGAAAAGGAAGAGGGAGGACGUGACAUCAGAGAACUCCCGAAAUAACAAGCACAUACUCAUCCACGACAGUGAGGUGGAUAUCCCUCUGGUUAUGGACGUUUUCAGCUGCAACUCUCUACAGCAGGCAGAGUCCACCCAGGCAGACACGCCCACCCAUGAAAUGGUCAGCAGCUCACAGUCGACGCCGCCCCCCAAGAAAAACAAGGUCAACGUGGCCACACAGUGUGACCCAGAUGAGGUCAUCGUCCUGUCAGACUCCGAGUGACCUUUGACCUCUCACUGUGCUGCAAGAUUGGUCCACAGCUCACCUGUAUUCUAGGUCAUUGUUCCUCCUGAAAGGGUGCAUUGUCAACACUGUCCUUGUCUGCCGGCUUGAAAGAAGAGGAAAAAGACCGCUUUUUUUCUCCCAAAAUUGUGAAACCUUUGUCAUAAGAGUCCUCGUGUUCUGCUGUGAGCACCAGAGAGUACAGCGGCCAUCUUCUCAAAGCAGAGAGACGUCGGCUGAUGGUUACCUCGCCGGUCUCCUUGUCCUUUUUGGGUGCAGUAAAGAUGACCUGAUGGGAAUCUAUUGGGCGGUCCAAACAGCCAAAGCUCGGUCACCGUGUUUUCUGCCAUCCAGUGCAACACUAAUAAUGCAUCAGCUGUUGGUAGCAUUGAAAUGAGGAGAUUUAGGUAAGAAACCAGUGCCUGACAAUAUGAACCGUACAGCCGGAGGCGUGGCCCUGAUGGAUGGGGAUGGGGAUCGGGAUGGGGGGGUUCACAGACACUCAACUGGCGAAGGCUUCGGUAGCUGCCAGUUUGUUUACAUUUUUAUAUCUCAAUCUUGUUUUCCUUUCAUAAAGCAGAGAGGGGAGGUAGUGGGCUGUAUAAAUUAUUAUUCUUUUACUUGCUAUUUAUGAUGUGCAUUGAACCAGUGAGCUGUUUGGUUUGUGGUUUGAUAAGAGAACAAUUGAAAGAUUUUCUGUUUUUCUGUUCCUCUCCAAAUAUAUUUCUAUUUUUUAGAUUUGUAAUAAAGUAAGUUGCUUUUUAAAAAAAUCAGACCAAUGUCUGCAAUAGUUUCCAGGUAGUUAUUGGUUUAAAUGACAAGUAAAUGUUGACAAGUCUCAUACACAAAUGUUUUAAGGAUGAGGUGAAGCAAUAUUCUAUAUGUCUUAUUGUCAACAAAGACCUACACAGUUACUGUUACUAUAUCUUCUCUCUACUGGUGCACUGGGUGACAUGUUGCAUCAUUAUAAUGAAGUGUUCCAGUGCUCUGUGGUGUUAGUCAGUCCCACAUGCAUGUCCUGCUGCAGCUGGAUUCACGAGAGCACCAAAUGUGUAUUCACCCACAGCUGAAAAUAGUCCCAAACUAAUGCACUUUUUGCUCGUCGAGUAAUGUUUGCAUAGUAGAAACUCCGGUAUCGAGGCGCUUUGGGAAAAACCCGAGGAACCGAUGGUCUUGGAGCUGAGAGCAGGGUGGUCAGUGGAGGGCUACCCCGGUGUUGGUGUUGGUCUCUGCAUGGGACGCGUCGACAUCAAGGCUUCUCCUUCAAGUAGCUGUCGCACAAAAAUGCUUCCUCGUGAUUCUGACACGGCUCAAAGCAAAAGAGGUGCAGUUCAGAUUGAAGACAUUCUUGAAUGCAUCACCACGAAAACUGCAUUCAUUCACCGGGACCCCACAGUCUACGAACUUUCCACGCUAGCAUCUGUUUGAAUCCAAAGAUUUGUUUAUUUGAAAUAUACCGGGACCAGUUAUGGAUCCUAAACACCUGAGUCUGUUGCCCUGAAGGACAUUUUAUUCUGACGCGCAAGGAUCAUUUGUUGGCGCAGCUUUUCCCUCCUGUCCAGACAUUGGGUAUUCAGAUACAUCUAGCAUUACAGUUGGGAUUUUUACUUCCCUACCGUAGUUCAAUUUUAAUUUUUUUAAAUUCUAGUUUUUGUCAAAUUGUUAAAAGUUGCAAUCUCAAAGAUCUCCGUUUCUUUGGCCGCUGGGUCUCUUGAGGGGUUGUUUUUAAUCCCCCUAUUUGUCUUUUUCCACCUGUUUUCUUUCCACACAGGUGAAAUAACAUUUUGGGUAAAUGGUCUUUUCAGACUUUAAUAGAAUGUAGACCUGGAAUAUAGUUGUCAUAGCUAGAUCGAUAUGGCCUCAAUUAUGCAGCGGAGUGAUCCAUAAAAAACUGUGAUUUAUUUUAUUUUUCUUUAUUUUUCAUUUUUGAUAAAUAAAUGAUACUUUUUUAUAAAUA